AUUGAACGCUGGCGGUAUGCUUAACACAUGCAAGUCGAACGGUAACAGCAGAGCUUGCUCUGGCUGACGAGUGGCGGACGGGUGAGUAACGCGUGGGAAUCUACCUAGUAGCGGGGGAUAGCCAGGAGAAAUCCUGAUUAAUACCGCAUAUACCUAAGGGUGAAAGGGUGCCUCUUCUUGAAAGCAUUCACUACUAGAUGAGCCCGCGUUAGAUUAGCUAGUUGGUGAGGUAAGAGCUCACCAAGGCGACGAUCUAUAGCUGGUCUGAGAGGAUGAUCAGCCACAUUGGGACUGAGACACGGCCCAGACUCCUACGGGAGGCAGCAGUGGGGAAUAUUGGACAAUGGGCGCAAGCCUGAUCCAGCAAUACCGCGUGUGUGAAGAAGGCCUUAGGGUUGUAAAGCACUUUUAUGAGUGAAGAAGGCUUAGUAGUUAAUAGCUGCUGAGAUUGACGGUAACUCACGAAUAAGCACCGGCUAACUCCG
rnacentral:rRNA from 1 species